UACGGGGGGAGCAAGCGUUGUUCGGAUUUACUGGGCGUAAAGGGCGGGUAGGCGGCCACCGCAAGUCAGUUGUGAAAUCUCCGGGCUUAACCCGGAAAGGUCAACUGAUACUGCAGGGCUAGAGUGCAGAAGGGGCAACUGGAAUUCUCGGUGUAGCGGUGAAAUGCGUAGAUAUCGAGAGGAACACCUGCGGCGAAGGCGGGUUGCUGGGCUGACACUGACGCUGAACUGCGAAAGCUAGGGGAGCGAACGGG
rnacentral:rRNA from 1 species